GCGCCCCGCGGCUCUGCCCGGCAGCCGCUGGCCUGUGGGGCCCGCCGGGGUCCGGAGCGGCCGAGGAGCCCGGGACAGAAGGGCGGUGGCGGUGGCUGUCACUGCCGGGCCGGGAGCGGCCGUACCCAGGGCUCCGGCGCCGCCGCUCGGCAGCCCUGCGGCUUCCCCCCCCGCCAAAGCGAGCAAGCGCCGCGAACACUGAACGGCAGAGCUCUCCGUCAGCGGCAAUAGUGACAGGGAGCAAAGCGGUGCGACCUGCCGCCGCCCCAAUCCCCAGGUUGUCUGUGGGCUUUAAGUGCGGAUUUGCUUUCCUCCCUCCACCAAAGGCCUGAAGGGUAUGUUUUCACUUUCAGAGAUUAAAACCGAAGCGGCGCUGGCGAAGAACGGACAUGCUUGACACUUGUCUGCAGUUGCUUGUGUUGCACCUCGUUGUUUACUCGAAAAGGAGAGACUGAGAUUCUGUUACUUGGCUUCUUCUCGGGUUAUGAUAUAAAUAACAAUAAAGCAAAACUGUGGAAGAAGCACCUGGGAACUGAGCAUGGUAGGAUCUUGAAGGUAAAAGUAGCUGGGAUCGACGGGAAGAGGAAGGGGAGGAAUGGCAUCCCGAGAGAGACUGUAUGAGCUUUGGAUGCUUUACUGCAAUAAGAAAGACCCAGAUUACCUGAAGCUCUGGUUGGAUAGUUUUGUAUCUAGCUAUGAACAGUUUCUGGAUGUGGACUUUGAGAAGCUGCCAACGAGGGUGGAUGACAUUCCACCGGGAAUCUCGCUGCUUCCUGAUAACAUUCUUCAGGUCCUCAGGCUCCAGUUGCUACAGUGUGUCCAGAAAAUGUCAGAUGGCCUGGAAGAGCAGCAGCAGACUCUGUCACUUUUACUUGUGAAAUUCUUUAUCAUCCUUUGCAGGAAUUUGGCUAAUGUGGAAGAGAUUGGGAUGUGUUCAUACAUUAACCAUGUUAUCACCAUGACUACAUUGUACAUUCAACAGUUAAAAAGCAAAACAAAAGAAAAAGAAGUGGAGGAUCAGACCCCCAUAGAAGAAUUUGUGAGACAUGCAUUGGCUUUCUGUGAAAGCCUGUAUGAUCCGUAUCGGAACUGGAGGCAGCGGAUUGCAGGACGUUUCCUUAGUACAGUUGAAAGGAGCAGACAGAAGUAUAAACCAGCUUCCCUCACUGUUGAGUUUGUCCCUUUUUUUUACCAAUGCUUUCAAGAAAGUGAACAUCUCAAGGAAAGCCUAAAAUGUUGCCUGCUGCAUCUCUUUGGAGCUAUUGUGGCUGGUGGUCAGAGGAAUGCUCUUCAAGCAGUAUCCCCUGCCACCAUGGAAGUCUUGAUGCGUGUUUUAGCAGACUGUGACAACUGGGAUGACAGAAACCCUGAGGAAGUGAGCAGGAAGGCAGAGCUGACUCUGAAGUGCCUGACAGAAGUUGUCCAUAUCCUCCUAACCAGCAGUUCUGACCAGCGCCAGGUGGAGACAAGUACAAUAUUGGAGAACUAUUUCAAGUUGCUUAACUCAGACCAUUCAGCCUUACCUAAUCCAAGGCGAUGCAGGCAGUGGGAGAGCAGAUUCAUAGCACUGCAGAUCCAAAUGCUGAAUACCAUCACAGCCAUGUUAGACUGCACAGAUAGGCCUGUUCUGCAGGCAAUUUUCCUUAACAGUAACUGCUUUGAGCAUCUCAUUCGACUCUUGCAGAACUGCAAGGUGUUUCAGGGACACCUGGACUCCUUGGCAGUGUCAACCAUUCAAGCCCUCACAGCAGUAAUGCACAAGUCUCCAGCUGCAAAGGAGGUCUUCAAGGAGAGGAUUGGGUAUGCACACAUAUAUGAGGUACUGAAAUCACUGGGUCAGCCAUCACGGGAAUUGCUGGAGGAACUCAUGAAUAUGGCUGUUGAAGGUGACCACAUGGCUGUUGGGAUACUAGGCAUUAGUAAUGUCCAGCCCUUAUUGCUGCUGAUCCAGUGGCUUCCAGAGCUAGAAUCCCACGAGCUGCAGAUUUUCAUCUCCAAUUGGUUGAGGCGAAUCUGCUGCAUUGACAGGCAGAGCCGUGCCACGUGCGUCAACGCAAACAUGGUCAUCCGCAUCAUCGAGACCCUCAAUUCCCACUCGGUGCUCCACUGCACCUGUGCAGAGAACCUGAUUGCCCUGCUGGGCUCCUUGGGGAGCCAGUCCAUGGGCUCAGAAGAGCUGCUGCAGCUGGUGCGGCUGCUGCGGCCGGAGGAGCCGCGGGGCGCGCACCCGUACGUGGUGCCGGUGAUGCGCGCGCUGCUGGCCAUGGCGCGCAAGCAGGGCCUGGCCAGCGCCCUGCAGUACUUCAACCUGCACCACAGCAUGGCCGGCAUCGCCCUGCCCGCCAUCCACAGGUGGCCGGGCUCCGCCUUCUCCUUCAACGCCUGGCUCUGCCUCGACCAGGACCGGGUGGACCCCGGCACGACGGGCAAAAGCGGCAAGAGGAAGCAGCUGUACAGUUUUUUUACAGGAAGUGGUAUGGGGUUUGAAGCCUUUAUUACAUGCUCAGGGGUAUUGGUGGUUGCAGUGUGCACAAAGAGGGAAUAUGCAACAGUGAUGCUGCCUGACCAUUGUUUUUUUGACUCUCUCUGGCACAACAUAACUAUUGUCCACGUGCCUGGAAAGAGGCCCUUUGGUCAGAGCCUUGUGUAUAUCUAUGUCAAUGGACAGCAGAAGGUCUCUGCCCCACUUCGAUUCCCUGCUAUGAAUGAAUCUUUCACUUCUUGCUGCAUUGGUUCAGCUGGCCAAAGAACAACAACUCCUCCUCCCUCUCAGAUUCCAGAUCCCCCUUUUUCCUCCCCAAUCAUGCCCCACCGGACAUCGCUUGGGGGCAUUCUCACUCCAGGAGCUUGGGGUGGGGUGCUUGGAAAACCAGAGUUCAUCACCAAAAUGAUCUCAGCAGGGACUCAGGACAGUGAAUGGGGGUGUCCAACAUCUUUGGAGGGCCAACUUGGAUCAGUUAUUAUCUUUCAUGAAGCACUGCAACCUUCUCAGGUGAAAGCAUUAUAUUUAGCAGGUCCAAACUGUUUAACUCCAUGGAAGUCUCAAGAAGCUGAAGUAGCAGACCUCCCCAGUAAGGUGCUGCUUCAUUAUACACCAAAGGCCUGCAGAAACCCUAUUUGCCUUGACCUGUCUGCAAAUCUUUUACAUGGAAGACUAACUGGAAACAAAGUAGUGAAUUGGGACAUCAAGGAUAUGAUCAACUGUAUUGGUGGAAUGAACGUGCUGUUUCCAUUGCUGGAGCAGAUCAGUUUUCUUGGUGCACAGAUGCCUGAGAAGUCUGAAGGAGAAGCUCUGCCUCCAGAACUUGUAACUCCUGUAGAGGGUGACUGGGUGGUGUUUUCAUCCCCAAAGGCAUCAGAAGCACGUCUAGAGAAGAACAUAGUUGCAACUUUCAUCUUGAUGAUAAAACAUUUUAUUCAGGGACAUCAUGUUAAUCAAGAAAAUCUCAUUCACUCCCAUGGAGUUGCCACCCUAGGAGCCUUGUUACAGAAGGUGCCAAGCAUCUUAAUGGAUGUGAAUGUCCUGAUGGCUGUACAGUUGCUGAUAGAACAAGUCUCAGUAGAAAAGAACAUGCAGCUUUUGCAACAGAUGUAUCACCACUUGCUUUUUGACUUCAGCAUCUGGAACAGUGGUGACUUUCCCUUCAGAAUCGGACAUAUACAGUAUCUUUCUACAAUCAUCAAGGACAGUAGAAGGCUCUUCAGAAAGAAGUAUGGUGUGCAGUUUCUUCUAGACACACUCAGGAUUUAUUAUGGGACUGGCUGUAAAGACGGCGAUUUGGCUCCUGAUGACCUGAGGACAAUACGGACAUCCCUGUAUGGACUGAUCAAAUAUUUUCUGAGCAAAGGUGGAACACAUGAAGAAAUUCAGAGCAUUGUAGGAUAUAUAGCUGCCACCAGUGAUGAGGAGCAGCUCUGCGGAAUUUUGGAUGUUCUCUUCAGCCUACUUCAUUCCAGUCCAACCCCAGACCAGCUUUUUUUAUUGCUCUUUGAACCAGGGAAUGCUGAUAUUCUUUAUGCUCUGUUACUGCAUCAAAGAUACUCUGACAGGCUUAGAGAACUUGUGUUCAAGAUUGUGGAAGAGAUGCUGAAAUGUACCAAAGUUUAUGAGCGGAGCAAGCACCGGAUGAGGCUCAGAGAAGUGGGGUACUCUGGGCUGGGACUCCUUCUGAAUGAAUCCCCAGUUACUGUUUCUCUUAUUAAAAACCUUCUUAACCAAGUCCUGUAUGCAGAUCCUGCUGUCAAUUAUAAAGAUCUCCUAGCUGUAGUGUAUCUGGCUCAUAGAUCAGAUAUAAACAUGAGAGUGAUUAUCUGCAGAAGGAUUUUGCACCUUUUGCAUUCCCAAUUGGAUGCAGCACAAGAGAUUUCUCAGCAGCUGGGCUGGCAGGACACUUUGGUUAGACUGUUCCUGAAAGAAAACUCAGAGGUCCGGAUUGGCUUUAAGGAGAGCAGGACUGAUUCCUCCAGGGAAGAGGAUAAAAAGCCUCCUACUGAAGAGCUACAGAAACAUCAAGCUGAUAAAACAGAGAGAGAUAAAGCUGGCAGCUUUGCAUCAGUUAAUGGUCUCUUUGAUCAGUGGAGUUUAGAAGACAACAAAUCCCUGGAGGUCCCUGCCCAUUUCUCUGUUAAGCCGCUGGAAGAUGCAUCCACAGCAGAGAUGUCUUUCGGUUCGGAGGGCCGAGAAGAACUCUGGCACAGUAAUCCUUCACAUCUGAGUUUGGAUUUGUCCAGUGUUGACUCUUACGAACUGGCUGAUGUUGGGAAUCAGAUGACAGACAGCCAGCCCAGCACUCCCUCACCCACAGAGAGCACAAAGCCCUUCUCUGGGCAGCCUGACAAAGAGCUGGGUGUUACAAAUGAUGUGGGCUUGGCUGCUGAGCUUUCUCUCUUUGAAAACCAAGGAGGGAGUGAGAAUGAACUCAUACAGUUACUCACAGACAUCCUACUGUGUAUAAUGUGGAAAGGUAUUGAAAAAUCUGAUGAUGAUGCUUGGAUUGAGAGAGGACAGGUGUUCUCUGCUCUCACCAAACUGGGGAUGUCUAAUGAGUUGCUGCGGCCUUCUGAUGAAAUAAAACUCAACUUGCUGGAGAAGAUGUUGGAAUGGUCAGUCACUGAUAACAGAGAUUCAAAAGCUCUCCCUACACAUGCUGAAAAUGCCUUCAAGCUCUUGCUAAUUGUACAAGGUUUCCUGCAGGCAGAAGGACUAAUUAAUUCAAAUUUAUGGACAGAAAAGCUCUUGGAAGAACUAGUGACUCUCAUGGAUAGUCUGUCAGUCUGGUACUCUGCUGGCCUAGAAGCAAUUAGGCUUUCACAGGUGCAAGUCCAGCUCCUCCUUGGAUUUAUUGCACAAGACAACUUACAGGUCUGUGCUAUGGCAGCAGCCAAACUAAACACCCUCCUUCAGACCAAAGUAAUUGAGAGCCAGCCUGAAGCAUGCUACCUCCUGGGGAAGUUGGAAGGCAUUUUGAGUAGGUCAAUUGAAGAGAAGACAGAAACUUACUCAUUUUUGAUUCCCCUUGUUCGGACAUUGGUAUCCAAGGUUUAUGAACUUCUCUUUAUGAACCUGCACCUUCCUUCACUGCCUCCUACCAAUGGCAGCCCAUCUUUCUUUGAGGACUUUCAAGAAUACUGCAGAUCUGAUGAGUGGCAAGUUUAUAUUGACAAAUAUAUUAUUCCAAAUAUGAAGCAAUAUGAAGAGAAUUCAUUCCGUCAUGAUAAUGAGCAAAUGGCACUUUAUUGGAAAGAUUGUUAUGAAGCAUUUAUGGUGAACAUGCACAAGCGAGACCGGGAAAGAGGAGAAAGUAAGCUUAAAUUUCAGGAGCACUUUGUGGAGCCGUUCAGCAGGAAGGCUCGGCAGGAGAACCUGCGAUACAACAGCAUGCUCAAACAGCUGAGCAGCCAGCACACAGCCACGCUGAGGCAGUGGAGAGCAGCCCAGCUGUACUUGUUCUCUGAGCGUGGGCCUUGGGCUGAAAGGAAACAGCGUCCUGUUCACUGGAAACUUUCAAAUGUGGAAAAUUUUUCACGUAUGAGACUAAAACUAGUGCAGAAUUACAACUUCAACUCUCAUCAGGAUGCUAGUGACCUGAGAGAUAAUUUAGGUGUGCACCAGACACAGCCCUCUAGUGAGUCUCUGCUUCUGGAGGUGGUGAAGCAGGUGAAAGUGAGUGACUUGGAAGAUGAUGUUCUGGAACUACCAGAAGAAGACACAACAGCCAGUUCCAAUUUGGAUGAGAAGGAUGAGGAAAGUCAGAAAGAAAAGCUAAUAUUGUCUGAAGACUGUGAACUCAUUACAGUAAUUGAUGUGAUACCGGGCAGGCUGGAGGUCACUACCCAGCACAUCUAUUUCUUUGAUGGUAGCAUUGAGAAAGAGGAAGGGGUAGGUUUUGAUUUCAAAUGGCACCUUUCUCAAAUUCGAGAAAUCCAUUUGCGUCGGUACAACCUGAGGAGGUCGGCUUUGGAGAUCUUCCUUACGGAUCAAACCAACUACUUCCUCAACUUCAAUAAGGAGGUACGAAACAAAGUAUAUAGUCGGAUACUGUCGCUGCGCUCUCCAAACAUUUCUGGGACCAGAUCGCCACAGGAGCUUUUCAAAGCAUCAGGUUUGAUGCAGAAAUGGGUGAAUAGAGAAAUAUCCAACUUUGACUACCUUAUUCAGCUAAACACUAUGGCAGGACGAACUUACAAUGACCUUGCUCAAUAUCCUGUGUUUCCCUGGAUUUUACGAGAUUACACCUCAGAAGAACUGGACCUAAAUAAUCCUGCAGUAUUUAGGGACCUGUCCAAACCUAUAGGUGUGGUUAAUGAGAAGAAUGCUAAGACUGUGAAAGAGAAAUAUGAGAAUUUUGAGGAUCCUCUUGGGAUGAUUGACAAGUUUCACUAUGGGACACACUACUCAAAUGCUGCUGGUGUGAUGCAUUACCUCAUUCGGGUGGAGCCUUUCACAACACUCCAUAUCCAGCUUCAGAGUGGCAGAUUUGACUGUGCUGACAGACAGUUCCACUCUAUUCCUGCUACCUGGCAGGCACUCAUGGACACCCCCAAUGAUGUCAAGGAACUUAUCCCAGAGUUCUUCUACUUCCCAGAGUUCCUGGAGAAUCAAAAUGGUUUUAACUUAGGCCAGCUUCAAAUGUCCAAAGAGGUGGUAAAUGAUGUUGUUCUGCCUAAGUGGGCCCACUCCCCAGAAGACUUCAUUUAUAAACACAGGAAGGCUCUGGAAUCUGAGUAUGUUUCUGCUCAUCUUCAUGAAUGGAUAGAUUUGAUUUUUGGCUACAAGCAGAGGGGACCAGCUGCAGUGGAGGCGCUUAAUGUGUUCUAUUAUUGUACUUAUGAAGGGGCUGUGGAUUUGGAUGCUUUAACAGAUGAGAAAGAAAGGAAGGCUUUAGAAGGGAUGAUAAACAAUUUUGGGCAAACACCCUGUCAGCUGUUAAAGGAGCCCCAUCCACAAAGGCUGUCAGCAGAAGAGGUAGUACAAAGACUAACUAAAAGCGAUACCUCUACUCUGAAUCUCUUCCAACACCUCACUGAGCUGAAGUCAUUCUUCAUAGAGGGAAUUAGUGAUGGUGUUCCCAUUGUCAAAGCUGUUGUCCCCAGGAAUCAAUCACGCUCCUUUAUUUCUCAGGGAAGCCCGGAGAUCUUGGUAACAACAAGUCUGAACUGUGUUAUUGGAACUCAUGGCUGGCUGCCUUAUGACAAAAAUAUUUCCAACUAUUUUACAUUCAUCAAAGAUACAACAGUGACAAAUCCCAAAACACAGCGCAGCAUGAGUGGUCCUUUUGCCCCAGGGCUGGAGAUCACCUCCAAGCUGUUUGCAGUGUCCCAUGACGCAAAGCUGCUCUUCAGUGGCGGACACUGGGACAACAGCAUCCGAGUGACAUCCCUUACCAAAGGCAAACUGAUGGGACAGCACAUCAGGCACAUGGAUAUUGUGACCUGCUUGGCAAUAGACCACUGUGGAAUUCAUUUAAUUUCAGGCUCCAGAGAUACUACCUGUAUGAUAUGGCAAAUUGUUCACCAGGGAGGAGUGCCUGUAGGCCUGGCACCUAAGCCAUUACAGAUCCUUUAUGGGCACACAGAUGAAGUUUCGAGUGUUGGCAUCAGCACUGAACUGGACAUGGCAGUGUCAGGAUCCAGGGAUGGCACCGUCAUUGUCCGCACCAUUCGGAAAGGUCAGUACGUGAGGACUCUGCGACCCCCGUGUGAGAGUUCUCUCCUGCUGACUGUUCCCAAUCUGGCUGUGUCCUGGGAAGGCCAUAUAGUUGUCCACACCAGUGUGGAAGGAAAGACUACUCUCAAGGAUAAGAAUGCAUUACAUCUCUAUUCUGUCAAUGGGAAAUAUCUGGGUUCUGAGACUCUGAAGGAGGAAGUGUCUGAUCUGUGUGUAACUGGUGAAUAUAUCGUCAUGGGCAGCUUGCAGGGAUUUCUUUCCAUACGGGAUCUCUACAGCCUGAGUCUGAGCAUCUCUCCCUUAGCCAUGAGACUGCCAAUCCAUUGCAUUUCUGUCACCAAAGAGUACAGCCACAUCCUUGUUGGCUUGGAGGACGGCAAGUUGAUUAUCGUUGGUGUUGGCAAGCCGGCAGAGAUGCGCUCAGGUCAGCUUUCCCGAAAGCUGUGGGGAUCAAGCAAACGGCUCAGCCAGAUUUCAGCAGGAGAGACUGAAUAUAACACUCAAGAUUCCAAGUGAUUGCUGCUUCUACAUUCUCUCAUGGAUUCCAGAAAAAUGUUUAAUCUUUUGGUCACUUUAGAUGUAUAAAUAUGUAAUUAGGGCUUUGAAUCUGAAGCCCUUUGAUUCUUGAUGAAGAACUUAUGGUAGAGGUAUAGUAGUAAGCAUAUGUACUCAUGCAAGUUAGCCUGCUUGCAUAUUUGUCCUCAACUGUGUUGACUUGUUCACAGCAAAAUCCCUCUCUCAACAGCUGCUAAAACUGUGUUUUGGGAGGACUAAAAAAACCCUGAACCAUCCCCCCAGAAGUCUUCAAACCCCCAGAUUACUAAUUGAAUUUAAGAUAAGUAGUGUUUGAUUUAAAGCUGAGUAGGGCCAGAUGCUCCUUGAUAACAAACGAGAUAUUUGGCUUUGCUUUGACAGCACUGUUAUUUCCCAGUAAAUUAAAACUCUGGUAGUUGCAGUGGUUGGAUUCAGAAUUGAAUAGAUGAUGGUUAUGACCUUCUCAGUACAUUUGUUAGCCUAAUCAACUUUAUUACAGUUUGUUUGUGUAAAUGGCUAUUGCUCACUUCUUUUGUGUAGUUCCAAUUUUAGGCUGUUCUGCAAGGGACAUCUGUGUUGCACUACUUUAUCAGAAAUUGUUUUAAGUACAGACAUGAAUAACUUUAAAGGAGUUGAAGGUGGUGAAGGAGCUGAAGGAGGUAGUAUUGGUGAAAUAAGGUUCUCCUUCGGUUUUGUUCAAAGGUUUGUUUAAGUGUAAAAAGCAAAGUUUUAAGAUUAUAGUAUUCCAAUGAGGAAUUUAGAAGAAACAAGUCUUAAGUGACAUUUAUUUCAUAGCACUACAUUUGUCAAGAUCUUUUUUGUGAUAUCUUCAUAUGUUUAAUUUUUGGAAUAACUCUAAUAAUAUUUAUCAAAGUUUAACAUAUGCUUACCUUUGAAGAUGAGUAAGUAGAAGUGUAAAUAUAUAUAUCUAAAAGAAACUGAAAACUGACCUACUUUUCAUACCUGUAUAUAAAUGAGAUUAAGUAGUUAGCAGUAUUAACUUCUUCGUAGCACAGUUUUGAAUUGCGUACCAAAGGAUAUUUAGAAGACAUGUCUCCUUUAUUUCAAGUAAAAUGUUUGUUAAAUUUCUCUAAAUCAAUUUACUUAUAAUUCUUGAUAGUAUUUUUAGUUGUCUUUUUAGCUGUAGUGAAGAAUCCCAUCUGGUCUUUGCUGGGUUUGAACUACACAAGCAUACAGAAAGUGAAAUGCUCUUCAAGUUAGCAUCUGACUGAGGCAGAUUUUUCUGUAACCAAUGUACUUAUCCAUUACUCACACCUAGGAUAUCUAGAAACCACAUCUUCUGUCAUCCAUGUACCUUUACCAGCACAACGUUGUAAUCCCAGUCCUAAAGUAACUGCACUUGUCCUGGUGGUUAAGACACAUUGUGGAAAUUAGAUUUUCUUAGGAAAACAAUUUUUUGAUAUUAAAAAGAGUAAAAAAAGAAAAAAACGAAACCAACAAAACUACCCCCAACCCCCACAACUUCCUCUCCAAAAAAAAAAAACCAAACUCAUCCACAUCCAUAUUAUAAUUGCUUUGCUAAUCUGCAGCAUUGAUAUAAAAAAGCUCUUUCCCCUCUGGCAUACCUUAGAUGAUGCAUAUUAUCACAAAACAGGUUUAUCAGUCUUCACAGGUUUUAAAUGGCCAAAUCAAUUGGCUGUCUUACAAGGAUCCCCAAAGCUGUAUUUCUUUGUAUUAAAAGUUGUAUUUCUUUGUCCUUUAAAUGAGUGCAAAGAACUAAGUUUCUGCACUGGAAAAAUUCUUUAACAUAGUCCUGCAGGAAUGAUGAAUUUAUUUUUGUAAUGCACAGAUUUGGUAACUCCUGCUUUAGGCAAUGGGAGCUGUAUACCUCACUUCCCUAAACCAUGUCUUCCUCCUCCCUGUUUCCUUUGCAAACCUUUCCCAAUCUUAAUGAACAAAAUCAUUAGAAAAGAUAAGUAAAGGAACCAAAUGCUGCACAAAGCUUUUGCUGUGUAUGUGUAAUUAGUUGGAAAUGUGUAUCUAUAUACAGAUAAAAUAUAGAGUGGUAGGGAGUUUUAGAGGUAGAAGGGGUGUAGAGAUGUCGACU